UACGGAGGGGGCGAGCGUUAUUCGGAAUUAUUGGGCGUAAAGCGCGCGUAGGCGGCUACUUAAGUCGGAUGUGAAAGCCCUUGGCUCAACUGAGGAAGUGCACCCGAAACUGAGUGGCUAGAGUACGAAAGAGGGUCGCGGAAUUCCCGGUGUAGAGGUGAAAUUCGUAGAUAUCGGGAGGAACACCGGUGGCGAAGGCGGUUCUCUGGGCCUGUACUGACGCUGAGGAGCGAAAGCGUGGGGAGCGAACAGG
rnacentral:rRNA from 1 species